GUGGCUAAUCUGCAUAUGCACAUUAGCUCUAUUACCUAUUAGCGGAUUAAAAAGCUUUAAAACAAAGAGGAAGUAGGAAAAGAACUACAUUUCCCAUCUGCCCUGGCUGUCACAGACUAAUAGCACCAGCUGCUUUCCAAUGCCCUAAGGAGUGAUUCUACUGCGGCAACGAGACCAAAUACAACGAAAGUAUUGAUGCUGCAAAAGAAGACGGAUCUUUUGGUAGGCUGGUUAAUGAUGACCACAGGCACCCAAAUGGCAGAAUGCAGAAGACUGAAGUGGAUGGAAGCCCACAUCUUGGUCUGUUUGCUUUAACAGACUUUAAAGAAGGUGAUGAAAUUACCUACAAUUACGGAGGAGGAGACUGACCUUGGUGUAGCAAG